rnacentral:tRNA from 1 species
GGGCCUCUAGCUCAUGCCUGGUUAGAGCAGCGGACUCAUAAUCCGUUGGUGCUGUGUUCGACUCACAGGAGGCCCACCA